UAAUUUUUUUUAGAGGAAGAACCACAAUUUACAAUAACAACAACAGAUGAAGGUGUCCGAGUAUUAAAAGUUAAUGGCUACGAAUUUACUGUUGAAUCGACAAAGAUAAUUCACGCUGAUAAUAGAAUCGCUAAGACUAGAUGGCGCUGCAGGAAGAAAAUGAAAGGCUGUAAAGCAUAUGAACCGAGAAUGUUGACCAGAAGCAACGGCCGUCAUAUGAUGAUCCUCGGAGGUGAUUCCUUCACCGUGCAUCUCACGAAGGACAUCGGGGGGGUCACAAAGAGACGCUGGUAUUGCACUAAGCGUACCAAAGGCUGCAAAGCUUACUUUUACACCAUCGACGAUGAGAUAAUAAUGAAGCAAAUAGUACAUAAUAACCAUUAGAUAUAACAUUUAUUUUCUUUUAUCAUAACUUGCUUAUAAACUGUAUCUCAAGCUAACGUCGCAGUUAUGAAUCUUUGUGUUUCAAUCAUUGACGUUCAAUACACAACCAGACUCACAUUCACAACCAAUAUUUGUCUGAGGCGAAACUCUCUCUACGCGUCUAUUAGGCAGAGUUGUCCUUCAGUUGUGUUUCGUCCGCGCCCUUUGAAUACAACGCCACUCAAUGACAAAGUGGUCAGUGAAAAACUGUCCAAAUAAUAGUAUAUCCCAGUGUUUCUCAACCUUUUUAAGCCAUGCCCCACCUAAUGAUUUCUAAAAUUUUUAUGCCCCCCAUACAUAAUUAUUAUUAUUAACCUUUAAAAAUUGUUUUGUUUCCAUAAGAAAUAUAAAUGAUAAGUUUUAGAAGGAAAUCACUAGAAAAUUGUUAUCUAAACAUCGUAAGUAAAAAUUUAAAACAUAUCAUAAUGAAAAACUGAAAAUAAAAUAAUUUUAAUAUAGAUUUUUCUAUAUUCAUUUAGUACGAACCUUGCGCUUGGUGCUUGCAUCACAGAAAUUUUAAAUUAGGUUCAAAAUUACUUAGCUUUAAUCUCAAGACUCCGUAUUGUGUUAUAUCAAGUCGAUUUUCUUAUCAGUAAAUCAUCUACAGCACUAAAUCCACAUUCAGCUAAAUAUGAAGAUGAAAACGGUAGUAAAAGUUUUCUUGAACAUUCUUGGAAUUUGCCUUUUUUGUUAAAUUACUCACUGACAUCUAGCAUUGUAUUUAAAUAACCCAAAGCGAAAGGAUUAAAGUCGUGUCGAGUCCAUUUUUAAUUUGGGGCGUAGGCCCCACUUUGGGAAACACUGGUAUAUACCAAACAUAAAAAGUAUGGAUUGUCGUAUUUCAGGUAAGUGCCCCUUUUAAAUUAACAAACUUUUGUAAUAAACUUAAACGCCGUUCGGACAUUUUUUAUCGAUCUUUUAAUAGGCGAUGGGUAGUCUAGUUGUUUAUUGUACGUCAAUGGUAUCAACAUGUUAAUAUAUGUUUGUCAAUGUCAAUGGUAUCAACAUGUAGCUAUAGAUUGUGUUUUGUAACCUUGAGCAUCAGGACACGUGACCUGAUCGAAAAUUCGUUGACAUUCGUUGAUAUGGUAAAAUUUUUUUUUACUGAGAGAUAAACUUUUUAAUGUAAAAUUGUAAUUGUUCUGAAGUGUUAUAUUUUUUAUAGAAUAUAAAUUGUCUUUUUUGUGUACGAUACCGCUAUAAUUGAAUUUUGAAUUUAACCACAUAAAUGCUAGUACUUUUAUUCUGAUAAAUAAAGCAAUUCAAGUUUAUAA